rnacentral:snoRNA from 1 species
GGCGUGUGUGUGUUCUGUUCAACUGGUAGACAAAGGCAAGAAAGACAGAUGCAAAGAUUAAUCCUCUUUUACAACCCAGAGCUUAUUGUUCAGUAUGAGUUUUUAUGCACAUGAGGACUAUA